UCAGUUGGGUCUAGAUAAAAAUCCCAGCUUUACUUGGUAAAUUUCAGUUGUUAAGUAUCUUGUAGUAUUAAAAGAUUUAAUACUAUUGCUUUUCCUUAGAAUAUAUUAAAGCAAUAGUAUUGUUUCUGCUUACAAUAUUGUAAAUAUUGGUUUCAGUUAGCAUAAACAUCUAAUUUUUUGCUCUUAGACCACUAAGAGAGAUACAAGUGGUGGAUUUCAGAGAACUUCCUGAACCAUUGAAAAGCAGGAGAAAGUACGCUUCUGUAAUCCUGUCACAUCUGUUCUAAAGGAUUCCAGGGACUCUGACCUGCGACUCAAGAAGAGAGAGAGGAAUGUAAGAGAAGACAGUCACUAUGUUGAAGAGAAGUUUAGAGGACUGCCCAGAGUAAAGAAAUCCCCUUCCAAGUGUUUCUCCUGCAGCCUUGGCAAAAAUAUACACAUCAGGGAUACAGGUAAAUUCAAACUUCCCCAUAUUGUGAGACAUGCCCAAAAUGCAGGAAAUAACUUAAUAACUUGAUAGCAUAAUGUUAAAUAUAUAUCUUGAGAUGAUAAUAUAAAUUCACAAAAAGCAAAAAAUAAUGGGCUUAAUUUUUUAGAAAAAUCUACUCAGAAAAAUAAGGACACAAAAAUACGUUUAGUGUGUUACCACAGUAAGGAUAAGAUUUCAAAUGACAAAGCUAUACAUUUAUGAGACAUGAUUAAGUACUAUUUCUUACAUGUAAACUGGUAUUCAAUAUUUUAAAUGUUAUUUAAGAAUUUAAAUUAUAUUUUCCCAUUAACUAUUGCCAG
rnacentral:lncRNA from 1 species